rnacentral:rRNA from 1 species
UACGGAGGGGGCUAGCGUUGUUCGGAAUUACUGGGCGUAAAGCGUGCGCAGGCGGUUCGUUGUGUCGGCGGUGAAAGCCCCGGGCUCAACCUGGGAAUGGCCGUUGAAACUGGCGAACUGGAGUGUGGCAGAGGGGGGUGGAAUUCCGCGUGUAGCAGCGAAAUGCGUAGAGAUGCGGAGGAACACCGAUGGCGAAGGCAGCCCCCUGGGCUGACACUGACGCUCAGGCACGAAAGCGUGGGGAGCAAACAGG